CCUUCUCGUUAGGGGUGCCCGCUGCGUACGGGCUGAGAAACACCCUUGGAACCUGAUCCGGCUCGCACCGGCGUAGGGAAACGUCACCAUGAGUUC
rnacentral:ncRNA from 2 species